GCAGUUUACAGUAACACCCCAUAUGUGGUCAUAAACUGCUGUACGGGCACACAGCAGGGCGCAGAAGGAAAGGAACGCCAUUUUGUUUUUGGAAGACAGAUUUAGCUGGAUUGGUUUUUAGACACCAAGUCCCACUUGAAGCCCCCUGGAUGCACCUUACUGUAGAUCAAUAAUAAAAAAGUUAUCCAUUU